AUACUUACCUGGCAGGGGAGACACCAUGAUCAGGCAGGUGGUUUUCCCAGGGCGAGACUCAUCCUUUGCACUCUGGGUGUGCUGACCCCUGCAAUUUCCCCAAAUGAGGGAAAAAUACUUUUUUUUUUGCCAGGCUCUUCUCACUGGC
rnacentral:snRNA from 1 species